rnacentral:snoRNA from 1 species
GGCCUCCUGCUGCUUACAACAGGCUGUGUUCUUGCACUGGCUGUAUAGAAAAAGGAGGCAGAGUGAGCUGACCCCAUAAUCAUACACCUCAGCCCAGGCCUUGUGCCUGGUCUAAAUUGUGAAUGGGGGGACAUGG